rnacentral:rRNA from 1 species
AGAGUUUGAUCAUGGCUCAGAACGAACGCUGGCGGCAGGCCUAACACAUGCAAGUCGAGCGCCCCCUUUCAGAGCACAGAAUACAGAAGACAGGUAUCAGAAUGCGUUGUGUGCGCGAUCGCGCGCGGCGCCCUUUCUGAUCCCUGUUCUUGGUUUUCUGUUUUCUGAUGGGGGAGCGGCGGACGGGUGAGUAACGCGUGGGAAUUUUCCUCAAGGUAGGGAACAACUCAGGGAAACUUGGGCUAAUACCCUAUGAUGCAGAGAUGCCAAAGAUUUAUCGCCUUGGGAUAAGCCCGCGUCAGAUUAGGUAGUUGGUGGGGUAACGGCCUACCAAGCCUGCGAUCUGUAGCUGGUCUGAGAGGACGAUCAGCCACAUUGGGACUGAGACACGGCCCAAACUCCUACGGGAGGCAGCAGUGGGGAAUCUUGCGCAAUGGGCGAAAGCCUGACGCAGCCAUGCCGCGUGAAUGAUGAAGGUCUUAGGAUUGUAAAGUUCUUUCGCCCGUGACGAUGAUGACGGUAACGGGAGAAGAAGCCCCGGCUAACUUCGUGCCAGCAGCCGCGGUAAUACGAAGGGGGCUAGCGUUGUUCGGAAUUACUGGGCGUAAAGCGCGCGUAGGCGGUUUUGCAAGCCAGAGGUGAAAUGCCUGAGCUCAACUUAGGAAUUGCCUUUGGGACUGUGAGGCUUUGAGGACGGAAGAGGUGAGUGGAAUUCCCAGUGUAGAGGUGAAAUUCGUAGAUAUUGGGAAGAACACCGGUGGCGAAGGCGGCUCACUGGUCCGUUUUUGACGCUAAAGCGC